rnacentral:rRNA from 1 species
CGGGUGAGUAACGCAUCGGAACGUGUCCUCUAGUGGGGGAUAACUCAGCGAAAGUUGAGCUAAUACCGCAUGAGCUCUGAGGAGGAAAGCGGGGGACCGAAAGGCCUCGCGCUGGAGGAGCGGCCGAUGUCCGAUUAGCUAGUUGGUGGGGUAAAGGCCCACCAAGGCGACGAUCGGUAGCUGGUCUGAGAGGAUGAUCAGCCACACUGGGACUGAGACACGGCCCAG